rnacentral:rRNA from 1 species
CAUCCAGACUCCUACGGGAGGCAGCAGUGAGGAAUAUUGGUCAAUGGGCGGAAGCCUGAACCAGCCAAGUCGCGUGAGGGAAUAAGGCCCUACGGGUCGUAAACCUCUUUUGCCGGGGAGCAAGGGCGGGGACGUGUCCCGGCCCGGAGAGUACCCGGAGAAAAAGCAUCGGCUAACUACGUGCCAGCAGCCGCGGUAAUACGUAGGGGGCAAGCGUUAUCCGGAUUUACUGGGUGUAAAGGGAGCGUAGACGGCGAUGCAAGCCAGAUGUGAAAGCCCGCGGCUCAACUGCGGUAGUGCAUUUGGAACUGUAUGGCUGUAGUGCAGGAGAGGCAGGCGGAAUUCCUAGUGUAGCGGUGAAAUGCGUAGAUAUUAGGAGGAACACCAGUGGCGAAGGCGGCCUGCUGGACUGUAACUGACGUUGAGGCUCGAAAGCGUGGGGAGCAAACAGGAUUAGAUACCCCGGUAUUU